GACGAACGCUGGCGGCGUGCUUAACACAUGCAAGUCGAACGGGCCCGCCCCUGUUUUUGGGGGUGGGUUGAGUGGCGAACGGGUGAGUAUCACGUGAGUAACCUGCCCCCUGCUCCUGGAUAACUGCUUGAAAGGGCGGCUAAUACGGGGUGUGCCGGCUGGUCCGCAUGGGCCUGGUCGGGAUAGUUUCAUCUUCGGGUGUUUCGGUGGGGGAUGGGCUCGCGGCCUAUCAGCUUGUUGGUGGGGUGAUGGCCCACCAAGGCGGUGACGGGUAGCCGGCCUGAGGGGGUGGGCGGCCACACUGGGACUGAGACACGGCCCAGACUCCUGCGGGAGGAAGCAGUGGGGGGUAUUGCACAAUGGGCGGAAGCCUGAUGCAGCGACGUCGCGUGAGGGAUGGAGGCCGUCGGGUUGUGAACCUCUUUCUCCGGUGGUGAAGGCCCUGUCCGUUGCGGCGGGGUUGACGGUAGCCGGGUAUGAAGCGCCGGCUAACUACGUG
rnacentral:rRNA from 1 species